rnacentral:rRNA from 1 species
AUUGAACGCUGGCGGCAGGCCUAACACAUGCAAGUCGAGCGGAUGAAGGGAGCUUGCUCCUGGAUUCAGCGGCGGACGGGUGAGUAAUGCCUAGGAAUCUGCCUGGUAGUGGGGGAUAACGUCCGGAAACGGGCGCUAAUACCGCAUACGUCCUGAGGGAGAAAGUGGGGGAUCUUCGGACCUCACGCUAUCAGAUGAGCCUAGGUCGGAUUAGCUAGUUGGUGGGGUAAAGGCCUACCAAGGCGACGAUCCGUAACUGGUCUGAGAGGAUGAUCAGUCACACUGGAACUGAGACACGGUCCAGACUCCUACGGGAGGCAGCAGUGGGGAAUAUUGGACAAUGGGCGAAAGCCUGAUACAGCCAUGCCGCGUGUGUGAAGAAGGUCUUCGGAUUGUAAAGCACUUUAAGUUGGGAGGAAGGGCAGUAAGUUAAUACCUUGCUGUUUUGACGUUACCAAAAGAAUAAGCACCGGCUAACUUCGUG